rnacentral:lncRNA from 1 species
AUCACACCCUGACUCCGGGGCACAUCUGAUGCUCUGGAGUGGGGAAGCAGUCUCAGAGAGCAUUCCCUCAUUCAUUCUUAGUAGAUCUUCACACACAAAGAGAGAGAGAGAGAGAGAUCCCCCAGGUGGAGUAUUUUCAUGUUUCUAGAAUUCACUGCCCUAAUUUAAAAAAUAAACAUAAUAAAAGAAACAACAUGUAGUAUGAGGCUAGAAGGGAUUGUUGCAACUUUGAGGCCAACUAGUGUGGGCCACAAGGAAACCGCCCCACAAAUAUCUUAGUGUACAGUUGCAGCCUUAACCUUUGGAUACAUACUAUCACACGUAAUGUUCCCCCAGUGGAAGGAAACAUCCUCAAAAAAAAAAAAAAAAAAAAAAGAAAAGAAAAGAAAAAAGAAAAAGAAAAGAAAAGUUUCCUCAAGGAAAAGCAAAAAUUAAAAUGAUAAUAUACAAUGUAGCUACACUGGCAGGCGUUAACCUCAAACUCUAACUUUCAGAGUCAUUCUUGCAGAUAGAUCAGGAAUGUGUUGUCAUCCUGGAUUGUAGACUGAGGAUCACCAAACUGGACUGGAAUAAAGCAUGACUCAGUGUAUGUGGCAGCUGCUCUAAGGCACAUUAGAAAUUAGGACUGACCUAGCAGAGGAAAUUCAAAUCUUUUUAUCUCCCCCCACCUUCUAAGAAUAUUAUGCAAAUAUUCUAAUCCUCCCCACCCUGUAAACCUUUGUUUAAAUAAAGGCCCAUGGCUCUAUUCUAGAAACUUGGUGGCCUGGAGCCUUGACCUUUUUCUCCUUGGACCCUCUUCCUCAGUUUCCUGGGUGAUGAUCUUUCCAGAUUGGCCAACUGAAUAAAAUUGUAAGGUGGGAGCCCAGCCAGUGGGGAAACACACAGCCACCACCUGAGUUAGAGUUGUGUGUGCGGUCUCAGGAGCACACCCUCUUGAUCCAGAGUGGUUGCCUUGUCUGGUCCCUUCAGUUGUAAUGAUGCUCUCUUUCGUUGUGACCCCAACUCUCUUGCAUGCCUAUUUAUCAGUUGUCCACUGUUUAUACUUUAUAAAAUGUAUCGGUUUAGGCACCGUCCUCAAACACACCAACUACAGUACUAAUACGGUCACUGAUUCUAUCCCUCACACCUAACACCUUGCCCCUUUGCCUUCUUACAUUUGGCUCUGCUGUUCCAGGCACCAACUCUGCCAAACAGGCAAAGCCAGGAUGUCCUCGGGAGAAAUGGAGAUCACUGUGUUGAGCAGCGCUGUUAGUGGAAACCUGGGGUGGGCUGCUGUGCUCUGUGUCCCAGGCUUUCUGUGAAACAGCUCUUUAUGAGUCCUGCUUCCUUUAGAGACCCAGACCGGUUUUCAUGGGCCUAGACUUGAGACAGAUUUGAGUCACAGCUACCCCACGCUGCAUUUAUGACUCCCCAUCGCGUGACUAAGUCUUUCUUACACAGUUUCUCUCCUCCUCUCUUCACUAAAACGAGUCCUGUUCUAGGAAGCAGCCUCCACCUGUGUCACCCAGUGUGCCUCAGCCUUGCCUCAGCAGGUCACCAGACAUGCCCAGGCGUGCUUGACCACGGAGAAACUGGGAUUCCUGCCACACUGCAAAUUAGAUGCUUCUAAAAUUUCUCUAAAAUUGGCAGCCAGUUACAUUUUGUACCUUGGCUUUUUGUCCCUUCAUUUAGUUUCUGUGCGUGGAGACUGCCCUAGUGAGCAAGAUCGAUAGUACCAGGAUGACCUCAUCCUCUGAGUUACUUGACGUUGAAAGGAAAUGCACAUGAAGAGAGAUAGCAUCUUACAGAUGUUAAAUAAAAGGAUCAAGGAUUCCAUGCCAUCUUUCAUAUGUCUAUAGUUUGAUGUUGAAAGUCUUCAGCAUAACCUGACUACUUUUAGACUUCAUUCCCAUUAAGAAGAGAUCAUAUUAAGAGGUUGUAUGAAUGGGUAGAAUUUAUGUGCUGAGAGUAGUUUUGAACAUCUUUUUCCCCUCUGUUUGUUUGUCUCUUGCCUGGCUGGCUACCUAUCUCUAUGUCUCAUUUAAUUUUUCUUUUCUGUUUUUGAAACAGAGUGUCACUAAGUAGCCCUGGAAGGCUAGUCUGGAAACUUGAUGUGUGGACUAGGCUGACCUCCAUCCAAUUCACAGAAAGCCACCUGCUCCUGCCUCCCAAGUACCGGGAUAAACAUGUAUGCUAUAUGCCCAGGUCAUGUAAUGUAUUGUUAUUGUUGUUUGUUUUGUUUUGUGUGUGCUGAUAUUUUGCUUGUAUGUUUAUCUAUACAUC